rnacentral:rRNA from 1 species
GUGGGGAAUCUUGCGCAAUGGGCGAAAGCCUGACGCAGCCAUGCCGCGUGAAUGAUGAAGGUCUUAGGAUUGUAAAAUUCUUUCACCGGGGACGAUAAUGACGGUACCCGGAGAAGAAGCUCCGGCUAACUUCGUGCCAGCAGCCGCGGUAAUACGAAGGGGGCUAGCGUUGCUCGGAAUUACUGGGCGUAAAGGGCGCGUAGGCGGACAGCUUAGUCAGAGGUGAAAGCCCAGGGCUCAACCUUGGAAGUGCCUUUGAUACUGGCUGUCUUGAGUUUGGGAGAGGUGAGUGGAACUCCGAGUGUAGAGGUGAAAUUCGUAGAUAUUCGGAAGAACACCAGUGGCGAAGGCGACUCACUGGCCCAAUACUGACGCUGAGGCGCGAAAGCGUGGGGAGCAAACAGGAUUAGAUACCCCUGUAGUCC